GCUCAUAACAAGCCUCGUGGAACAAACCAACAUUCCUCCUGGAAUCCAACCGGUAAUUGCCAUCCUCAAUUUUUGCUGCAUUUUUACAGUGUUGGUGAAGGGGCUGCAUCAGACGACAGGUACUUAAGGUUUUCUGAGGCCUCAUUGUGUCUUUGGAAGUAAGAGACCACUCUUUGGCAAGUGUCCUGGACCACGGGCUGGGUUUUCUGAGGCCUCAUUCUCUUUUGGAACUAAGGGACCACUCUUCAGCAUGUGUCCUGAACCAAGGGCUUCGUGAGUGGAUGUUUAUCUUGCUGUGUACAUGGGAACGAGUGAGCAUAGUUGGCACUAAUACC